rnacentral:lncRNA from 1 species
AGUUAAAUAGAGCUAACAGUUAAUAGAAGAAACCAACACCAACACUUAACAGUUAAAUAGUGCUAAAUAGAAGCCAACACUUAACAGUUAACUAGUGCUAAAUAGAAGCCAACACUUAACAGUUAAAUAGUGCUGAAUAGAAGCCAACACUUCACAGUUAAUUAGCGCUGAAUAGAAGCCAACACUUAACAGUUAAAUAGUGUUGAUAGGUAAAGGAAUACAUCCCUAAAAACUCUCUUCCUUCAGUGUACAUCGUAGAAAGUUUUGCUUGUGUCCAUAGAUCAGUAUUAAUCAUGUAUGUCAUAGUGCCUCUUUUAAUUACAUUGUAUAGGAAUGUUUCCAUCAUAUUCACAAGGCACACCCCACAAAAGGUCCGAGACAAAUCCAUUUGUCUUUUGCUGCUCUCAGAAAUGUGCCAGCUACAUGACGGCAGUUUGAGAGUGCUCGAAUCUGGACCAGACAAUCCAGUGACCAACAUCAUGGGCAUCGAUUUCAGAGACCAAACUGUUACAGAUCAAACCACAUGCUUAGCUUCCUUAUUUAUGAACACAUUAACAUUUCAAAAGAUGGUUUUUGUUGACAAAAGGUUAACAGAUGGUGCUGAAUUUAUUCAUUUUGCUAACAGCCUGUUUUGUAAUUAAGCAUUCCAUAUAGUCCUAUUAAGUUUAUACCAAAGUGAGGCACAUGUUUAUGUUGGCGAUGAGAAAUCGGCCACCGCCUGUUUACUCUGUCCAUGACUCAGUUUAGUCAUCGCACAGGCUGAACAUAUCCUAGUCACAGAACUGCUGUUUUAUUUUUACCUUUUCUCAAUUUACUGUACUUAAGCAUUAUAGAAAUCGAUUUAAACUGCUUCUUUCAAAAAGAGCUUGAUUGUAGUCUUUCUGUCAGAAAAACAACACAAGGCUUGUUGAAAUAAAAUUAUUUGUGUUUUUAGAUGCAUCUAAUCACACCAUGUUGAUUUCAUAUGCAAAAAGGGAAUUUCAUUCUGACAAACAGUAUUCACUGAUGUAAUCAGUUUUAAGCUGUGGCGCAUUAAAAUUGAAAAAAGGGAUUAUAAGAAAACCGAAGAAAAUGGGUUUAAAUUGUUUUUUCGGCAAUCGUGCAGUAGUCAACAAAUUGCUUCAAAAGUCAAUGAAACGAAUUAUGUUCUUUGGGGUUUUUUUUUUGUAAUAGUUUCAAAGCAGUUAUACUGAGAGAAACAAAUAAAGGAACAGGAAAAUUCAAGCAUUCCUGUAAUAUUUUCCAGUUUUCAUCACCAGCUUUGAGUAGCGAUAUGGGAGGAAGUCUGAGAAUAAUCAAAGGAACACUGUCGUGAAGUGGUGUUCCCUUAUUUGUUUUCCUCAGUAUAUAUAUAUACAGUACCCUCUCUUUGUGGAUUGUCGUUUAGGGGUCGAUAAGUCAUUCAGGGGACAUGUGCUAUGUUGAGUCUUCCAGCCCAUCGCUGGAACUUGAUGACUGCCUGUAACCUCAGUACCCAUGUGAUUGUGCAGGAUGAUAGCAUAAAGUAUUCAUUUGACAAACAAGAUCAUCCAGACAGGUAGAUUUGGUGGAAAGUGAAGAUUUACCCACAUGGAUCAACUGGAAUAAUAUUGAAUAAGGUUUUCUCUUUAGAGAUUCUAGUAAAUAUAGCCUGGGUGGUGAGGUAGCCUGGGUGGUGAUGUAGCCUGGGUGAUGAGGUAGCCCGGGUGAUGGGGUAGCCCGGGUGAUGAGGUAGCCUGGGUGAUGAGGUAGCCUGGGUGGUGAUGUAGCUUGGGUGAUGAGGUAGCCUGGGUGAUGAGGUAGCUUAGUUGUUCAGCAGGCCGGGCGUAGCCCUGUUAUGGCGGAAGUCAUAUAGCAAUAUCGCAGACAACAGUUCUACAGAAACUGUACAUUUAGAGAAAGGUCAAACCCUUUAGAAAUAUAUGACGACCUUCAUCUGAACAUAAGAUUUAGAUUCAGAAAGAUUUGACAUUUUCAAGAUAGUGGAUACACUCAGAGGUGAUAAUGAUUAUGGCUCGUACCGCAGUUACACCCUUACCCCGAAAUGCAGGUACUUGUAGCCUUACGGUUUAAUGCUACGGGAUCAUUUGUUUCGCGCCUUUUCCCGGUGGUUUAAACACGGUCGAAAUUCUAAAAAUAGCACACUGCACCUCGACAUAAAUCCGUUAAGUCGGGCAGAAUAACGCAUAGGCUUAACCGAGGUAUGCAUGACGUGUAAGAGCAGGGUGCUGCUAAGCCUGACGUAGUGUGUUACGCCUAACAUUAGCUACGCCCGACAUGUAUGCGGCCACUGAUUAUUUCAUUAUGUGCAUGUAAUAUAUUUGAACAUAAACUCUGUGGCCUAUUCGCAAUAUUACUGCAAGUUUUAUCUUACCUUCAUGUAAAAUAUGUGAAGCCCAUUUCUGGUGUCCCCUGCCGUGAUGUUGCUGGAAUAUUGCUAAAAGCGGCGUAAAACCAAACUCAGUCAGUCAGUCAUGUAAAAUACUUUAAUUUCAUUGGUCAAUGUCCCAGGAGGGUGACAACUGGAAAAAAUAUUACCUGCUGUCAUGGUAACCGCCAAACUCUUCACCAAGAAGCUGUUUCGCUAACAAUCGUAUAACGUUAUGAUAUGAUGCAUGCAGUGCACAGAUUUGAAAAACUGUUUGAUGGGCUGUUUUUUGAGUUCACUACGUACACAUCAAUUUUACAGACUUUCACUGCUUUAUUUAAACUAUUUGAUACAUUAAAUCGUUUGCACAUUCAACUUAAAAGUAUUAACCAUAUUUAUAUCAAUUUUAAGCUUGUCAGAAUUUGUUUCAGUGAUUUUAAAAUCCAGUUGAGCGGCAGACACCAUUUUGUUUACAUGUCAUAUAGUCGGUAGCGGGCUUAUCGAUCUUCAAAAUAAAAUAAAAUAUUUUUUACAUUUAACUUGGGGGUAAGAUAAAUACGUUUUAAACUUCUCCCUCGGGUAAUACGGUCUGAUGUACGCCUCUUUGUAACAGUGUCACCCGAGCCGGUAGACGUACAUCAGACCAUAUUACCCUCGAGAGAAGCAUAUUAUAACUUAUUGUGGAUGGUCUUUUUAUGUCCUGAUUGACAUCAUGUACCUAGUAUACUACGAUGGUGUGUAAUACCAUGUACCAGUUUUCCUAUUGCAUGUAUACCAUGUACCCGUUGAUGUAUAUUGUAUGUAUACCAUGUACCCGUUGAUGUAUGCUUUGAGCUAUACUGUAUUUGGCAUGUGCCUACUGUUUGUACAAGAUUUUUGUAAAUGCUUUGCUUCUAUUAAAAAGGAAGGAAAAUCU